AUACUUACUUGGCACUGGGGAUACUUUGAUUACUUUGAUCAACGAGGAGGUUCCCCCGAGCAGAGGCCUUUCAUUGCACUUCGGAGGGUUGACGCUCGCCACAUCUGCAAAUUACGGUUGCUGGGGUGCAUAAGUUUUGGUAGCUGGGACUGCGUUCGCGUUGUCCCUU